CGCGGACGCCGGAGAGCGCGGGAGGCGACCUGUCGCGCCCCCUCCUCCCGGUCCGCGGGGCAGGGGCAGGCGCAGGGCCGGCCGAACUAGGGUGGAAAAGAGGCUUCCCGCCGCUCCGCUCUGCGGACCAUUGUCAACGCCACGGUCGCCGGCGCUGGCUGCAAGAGCCUACUGCAUCCCAGAGAAUAGAGCUGCCCCCUCAAGCCCCUGGGCACCGACGUCCCAGCUUGACCGCUGUUCAGCCCAGCUCUUGUGAUGCAGCACAGAGGGCGACACGAUUCUCAGGAGCCAGAGCCUGGAACAGCUGCCAGGCAAGGCCUCCUUUCAUUGGCUGUUCCCCUCCCGUGGAUAUGAGGGGCUUCUCCGAGCUCGUAGACACUGGCGGCGUCCUUGUGAUCAUCAUCUCGAACAAAGGAGCAACAAGUCCGGAGCAGAGUUGCUGGGAUGAGAUCAGAGCAUGACAUUGCUUGUACCUGUUGAUCAAAAUCAUGGGGUCAGCACAGCAUCUGCUCAGUCCUCUCGAGGCCCAAGCACAGGCUCCGGACGCGCAGGCUCAGCGGCCAUGGCUCACGGGCCCAGCAGCUCGGCGGCACGUGGGAUCUUCCCGGACCGGGGCACGAACCCGUGUCCCCUGCAUCGGUAGGCGGACUCUCAACCACUGCGCCACCAGGGAAGCCCAGUACUAGUUUAUUGAUUGCAUAGUAUUACAUUAUAAGAAUGGAAUAAUUUAUUAAACUAUGACUCUCCUUUUUGGAAUUUAGGUUGUUAACAAAUUUUCACAACAGAAAACAAUGUCGUCAUAGGAAGAUCUUUUGAUGUAUCUGCAGUAGUGCAUUUCUGAAUCUUAAGCAUCAGUCUGGGCUUCCAUAGGAGGUGAUGGACCCUCCUCUUUGGAUUCCAGAGUCCAUCAGCUAGAUGGUUCAAAUCAGAUGGAUCAAAUAGGAUGCCCCUUGAAAGACAAUAUCAACCUCUGAGGGUGUGCUCAAUAAUGUUUAUACAAAGAAGAGAUGCGAGGUCCUUGAUCCCGUUUGUAAAGUGAAGAAUCCUUUGCCAUGGAAAAUAAUCUGUCUCCAAUUUAACCAUUAGAGAAGUUCGGACUUUAACAUAUUUGAUUUUUAUAAAUAAGAGCCCUCUUGUCUGCUGUCCUGCAGGAUACCUGGGAGCUUAGCUCUUAUAUUGGAUCAGGUAAACAAUGGGUGUUAAUCACACUCCUAACCCACACAUAAAUAAAUUGGUGGGAGGCCGUGUUUCUUGUAUUUGUCUAGUUUGCUUCCUGGGAAACAAUGGCUCUCUCCUUUAUCCAGCACUAACUAAUUUCCGGAGUCACUGCUGUUAAUGAUAAUCUGUGCUGUCCACGACACUGUAUGGCUGGCCAACCACUUAUACUUUUACUGCCAGUCUCUCACGAGGACAGGCUAUGAUAAAAAGAAAAUAUCCAGGGAGAUCACUUUUUCUAGCUGUCCUGUUAUUGGUGAAAAAAUACUUCCUUUCCUAUGCUUUCUAAAAUCACACACAGCCUUAUUUUAUUUAAACAUACAGACUUUUUUUUAAAUUUUAACAAAGAUCCUAUUUCAGUGGAUAAAACAUAGUUUAAUCGACUCCUGUUCAUCCCAUUGGAGAGGGAGGGAUUCCUGCCCAAGGGUUCCUGGGAUAGCCAAACAUGACACCAACACUGGACAGGUGAGAUCCACAGCAGUGCAUCCCAGCCCAGGAGAGGACACUGCAUGCCAUGAAGAGCCACCCAGGAGCAAAGUGAACCUGUAGUGUUAAGAGAGUGAGGUGACAUCUGGUUCCUUUGGAGGAUGUGAUUGGCCUGUUUGAGUAAUCUACUGCUGGCAGGGAACUGAAACUCACUACUCCAGGUGAAGUAGGAUCUUCCUUCGGUUUCCUUGAUUUGGAGGCUUACUUGGCUGGGACCUCGUCCAUAGGAGCAGAGUGGGGAGAGGAACUUCCUAUUAGGACAUGCAGGGCCCUCCCAAUCUCACCACAUAUCAAGGCAACAGAGAAUAUUUCAUUUUAAUAAUUAAUUAUUAAAUUAAUGAUUAAAUUUAACUUAAUUUUAAAUCUAACACCAGACAUGUGAACCUCGUGAACCUCUCAUUCUCUUGGUGUAUAAAACCAGAGCAGGUAAAAAGACUUUUUCCCCUACAAGCUACCCAAGGCUAGGACAAGGCAAUACUGUGAGAAAGAAGCAAUUAUUUGGUAUCUUCAGGCAAUGAGACAUUUUAUUUCCUUUCCUGAAAUAUGUAUACCGUUCUACUCCUACCACCUAGCUUCCAGUCAUUGAUUAAGAGGGGAGGGAGAUAAGUUUAUCUGUUUCCCAAUUUAGAUCCCCUCUCAAAACAACAGAAUGAUUCAUAAUUUUCUUAUGUACUCCGUAGCCACUACUUCACAACCUCUCUCCCACCCAUUGUUGAAAAACGAUUUUCUUUUCUUUCAUAUUUCAUGGCACCCUUAUUUAUAUUAUUAAUAUCUAUACUUUGGACAACAUUAUAAAGCCUUGGAAAGUCAGUGCAUGCUCUGUACUUUGCAAAGGUCAUUAUCAGAAGGAUAAGAACAAAGGAGUGGCCUCCACCUGCUCACCUCUGCCACCUUGGAUUUGACGUCAUUAACACCGCUGCCUCUUUGUCAGGCACUGCGGGUGUUGUGAUUGGGAGAGAGAGUGUGCUUCCGUGAACACAGGACGUGCAGGAGGCAUAUUGGAUUCCUUUGCCUUCAGCAUAACAGAGGAGGUGGCCCCAAACACCGUGGGAAGGCUCCUGAUGCUGACCUGGGGGUGAUCCCCUUCUCCCUGGAGCUCCGUGGCCUCUGGGCUUGGCCUCAAACAGGUGUCACAUUGCUGUGUUCCUGUGUCUGGGAGACUCUCUGCCUCCUCUCACUGUGUUCAAACCAACCCCUAGGACUCAGCUCCAGAGGCAGAAGGCACCUGAAAGAGAGUUCCACUUCUAGCAUUUUUCAGAUGGCAAACGAGGCUCAGCAAGGCCAGGGGAUUUCCUCCCGGAUAUAGAGGCAUAGACGCGGUCAAGACCAGGUCUCUGGAUUCCCUUUCUAGUAUGACUUCUAUUAAAGCAGCAUCUUCUCAGGUCUAAGAGUCCUCGUGUAUGUAAAACGAGGGGUAUGCAAGGUGGCUCUAAAGUCCCUUCCAUCUGUGCCUUAUGUACUGAUACGCUAUUAUUGGGUAUGUACUGAUUGUUUCAUUUUAGAAUUCACUGUUCUCAAUGCAUUGACUAGAAUGUUACCAACUGAAAUGAAUCAGGAAGAGGACAUAAUUUUGCUUGGCUCUUUUAAGCUUAAAUUCAAUUUCUGUUUUUUUAAUGGUAAGAAUGUGAGGAAACAAAUGGUAAAUUCACCCACAGUAAAAAAAAAAAGAAAAAGAAAAAGGGGUUCAAAUACACACCUUCAGGUGAUUUGUGCAGAGGAAAAGCACUAUGUUACGUGAUUCUUAAAUAGUUUAUCUAACUAUACCAGGAAAAGUCUCCUUCUGGUGCAGUGGGGCGGGGGAAGGCAGGGAUACGCAGGGAAUGAUGGUGAUAAGCAUUUUCCAAAUUAGGAAAUAGAUAUGCUUUUCUUCUUACUCUCUUACAUAACUGAUCUAUUUUAGAAGACAACACAAAAAAACUGAAAUGAAAUACAAAUCUCAUGAUUUUACUACUUUGUUAGCAAAGACAGAAGUAACGCUGGAAGGGAAAGAGAGGAGAGUUUCACCCCAUCCUAUUCCUCUUGGCCCGGAGGAUUUUU